rnacentral:rRNA from 1 species
UACAGAGGGUGCGAGCGUUAAUCGGAAUUACUGGGCGUAAAGCGUGCGUAGACGGUUAUUUAAGUCGGAUGUGAAAGCCCCGGGCUCAACUGGGGAGGGUCAUUCGAUACUGAUCGACUCGAAGGCAGGAGAGGGUAGUGGAAUUCCCGGUGUAGUGGUGAAAUGCGUAGAUAUCGGGAGGAACACCAGUGGCGAAGGCGACUACCUGGCCUGUUCUUGACGCUGAGGCGCGAAAGCUAGGGGAGCAAACGGG